rnacentral:sRNA from 1 species
CCAGACCAACCCUUUUCUGUACAGCCUUUUUCUCACCGCAUAUUGGCAGUGAGAGAAGCGUUCGAAGACGACUGCCUAGCUCUUCAAUUUUUAGACACAUACAUGCAAUGCAAUGCAUGUGUAUGACAUGUAACACAACCAAUCCACCAACAACUUGGUUCGAUCAUUUCUUGCUUGGCUUUGUUGUUGGCGCUCAUCCCGGAAGCCAUCACCACCAAUAAGGGCGCGGAAGCAUUCAUUCCAGGGUGAAUACUGCAUACUUCACUGCACAAUACGCCAUAUACUCGGCCAAAUUAUCAGCUCUCGAACAUCUUUCGUUUAUCUAGGUUCCUAUCGAUUUCGCGAAUUCCUCCCAACGCAGAUCAAUAUGUGCAUGACCGAAUAUCCAAUGAUCCAAUGAUCCAAUGAUCCAAUGAUCCAG